AUUGCUUCUCGGCCUUUUGGCUAAGAUCAAUUGUAGUAUCUUCUUAUCAGUUUAAUAUCUGAUACGUCCUCUAUCUGAGGACAAUAUAUUAAAUGGAUUUUUGGAGCAGGGAGUUGGAAUAGGAGCUUAUUCUAUCCACUCCAUGCAUGGACCUGGUAUUGCAGUACUUCCAGGAACGGUGCACCCCCC
ensembl:snRNA U2 U2 spliceosomal RNA